rnacentral:rRNA from 1 species
GAUGAACGCUAGCGGCAGGCUUAAUACAUGCAAGUCGAGGGGCAGCACGGUUAGCAAUAACUGGUGGCGACCGGCGCACGGGUGCGUAACACGUAUACAAUCUACCCUAAACAGGGGGAUAGCCUUUCGAAAGAGAGAUUAAUACCCCGUAAUAAAUUGAACGGCAUCGUUUGAUUUUGAAAGCUCCGGCGGUUUGAGAUGAGUAUGCGUCUGAUUAGCUAGUUGGUGAGGUAACGGCUCACCAAGGCGACGAUCAGUAGGGGAUCUGAGAGGACUAACCCCCACACUGGUACUGAGACACGGACCAGACUCCUACGGGAGGCAGCAGUAAGGAAUAUUGGUCAAUGGAGGCAACUCUGAACCAGCCAUGCCGCGUGCAGGAUGACGGCCCUAUGGGUUGUAAACUGCUUUUAUACAAGAGAAAACCCUGGUACGUGUACCAGGUUGAUAGUAUUGUAAGAAUAAGCAUCGGCUAACUUCGUGCCAGCAGCCGCGGU